UAAACAAAUAAUCACUGCAAUGAUCAUACCUUUUUCAGCUCUUUACGUAGCCUCUCAUUUUCAGUAAUGACUUUUUCCAUUCCUUUGGUUUUAGAUUCGUAAUGCAUACUCAGCUGGCCCCCAAGAUCAAGUUUCAUUUUUUUCAUUUCAGACUGAAUAGUAAAUAGUUUGUUAAAACAUAUUUACAUUACUUCAAAUUUCCUUUUUUGAAGCACAGUUACAGUCACUGAAUAUAACUGACAGUUACAGUACAGACUGCAGACUGAACAUUUCAUCACAUAUUUAAAUUUAUCUUAACAUACAAAUUAUCUUUACAUAAAUCAUGCAGUACUUAUGCUAAAAUGAAAUUUUAGUUCUGGCCACUUUUGUACUAGUCAACAUCAACAACAGGCUUGCUGUUCAAUUUUCCUACUAAUUUGUAUAUGAACUCCUAUUUGAAUAUACUAUUUAAGAUAAAUCAGUACCUUUAGCCUCUCAUUUUCCUGUUCAAGACCAAGUAAUUUCUCAUUAGAAACCACAGCUGGAGCUUUUUUCAGAUCUUCAUUUUCUCUUUGGACUCUCUCUACCACCUUUUUCAUCAAACCAAUAGUUUUUUCCAAUUCCGGGACUGUCUUUCCACUUCUGCCAGCCUGUGCAGAAGAAAAAGAAAAGACACAACACAACCUUCUAAAAUACUUCAAUUCUUAUUUUUAUGGCAUAUUUUCCAUUUUAUCAUAUUCAUUAUAAAGUUGUUAAAGUUUAGCGUCAUUUGUAUCCUCAAGAUUCUUGCAUACUUAACUUUCCAAAAGAUCAUUCACCUCCACAGUCAAAUUAUCAGCUCCCUCAACUUGUUACCUAAAAAAGCUGCAGUUAAAUCUCAAAAUUUUAUGUAUUUUAUAAAAUAAAAUGAAACAUUAUAAGGAUAAAUCAAAGUAGUAGGUUUUAUUUUGCUGUUAGGUUUUUUUUGUUUAGUUGGUUUUGAUUUUUUAUUUUUUUAAUUGUUUUUCUUGUAGAGCGGUUUCCUGAUCCAACUGACUGUGCAACUGCUUGAAUACUAACACUAUCUAAAGGGGAAAUAAGUAGUGACCUCCUGUGAGCUUAAAGGACUAAAAAAGGGCUUUAUUUUUAUUAUUUUUUUUAAAGCAACCAUACUUCUACAAAUUAAAGUGGCAAAAGAAAUACAGCUUAAAGCAUAUGUAAGUUUAAAAAAAAAAAAAAAGGCGAUCCACAACUAUUUUCUCUAUUUUUCUUCAACCAUUCUAUUUAUGAGGUAGAAAAGUACUUAAAGAGUGUUCAAAUUCCUUAAUUUAUUUAUAUUCUUUGCAGCAAUGGAUUUCCUCAGCAAUAACAAUUUAAAAAUGCUGCUGUUUCCAAUUUUGGGGCCAGAAGUACCUCUUCUCCAUAGAGAAAAAAUGCAAGAGGAUUGCUACAGUAUCCAACCUCAGGCAUUUCACAGGGUUUUGGGGUUGUUUCAACUCCCUCUGUAUCACUUAGAUGAUGUUUUCUUUAAUUUACCAACAAGUGAAGCAAGAGAAUUGUCCUGUUCUACUACAGUUUGCUCCAUUUCAGCUAAACGGAGGAAAUGUUUGUUGCUGUUAAGUGAUAAAGAAGGAUCUUCCAUUAACUCCUGUAAAACAGAAUAAAUGUGUGUGAUAAACAUCUUACGCUUUAAAUCAAAGGCGAUUCUGCUGAGCAAGAGUUGAGAGACCUGGAAAGAAAAACAAUUACCUGGUGACAAUUCAGUUAGAAAUUCUACCUAAGAAAUACUUCAGAUAAUGUUAUAAAGGAGAUCUUCAUUACCCGUUCUUUUAAGCAAAAUACACCUCCCCUAAGAAGACAGUCUGAGAGAGCUGGGGCUGUUCAGCCUGGAGAAGAGAAGGCUCCAAAGACACCUGAUAGCUGCCUUUCAUUACCUACAGUCGGCGGAUCUCAUCACGCAAAAAACGGGUAUCACGACCACCAGCUGAACUCUGUGCCAUCUUGAGAAUAUAGAAGUGACAUAACAAACUGUUCCUCAAAAUAGAAAUGCAUUGAAAAAGAAAAAAAAAGGAUGCUACAGCUAAUAUUCAGGAAACGCAACAGAAAGGCCUCACUAGCUUCUUUCAACAACAACAAAAUAAAAUAAAAUAA